GUAGUCGUGACCGAGUGGUUAAGGCGAUAGAAUGAAAAAAAAAAAUAUGAUCUUCCCGCGCAGGUUCGAAUCCUGCCGACAACG
rnacentral:tRNA from 1 species